AUUAGAGUUUGAUCCUGGCUCAGGAUGAACGCUAGCGGGAGGCCUAACACAUGCAAGCCGAGCGGUAGAGUCUCUUCGGAGACUUGAGAGCGGCGCACGGGUGCGGAACACGUGUGCAACCUGCCUUUAUCUGGGGGAUAGCCUUUCGAAAGGAAGAUUAAUACCCCAUAAUAUAUUGAAUGGCAUCAUUCGAUAUUGAAAACUCCGGUGGAUAGAGAUGGGCACGCGCAAGAUUAGAUAGUUGGUGAGGUAACGGCUCACCAAGUCUACGAUCUUUAGGGGGCCUGAGAGGGUGAUCCCCCACACUGGUACUGAGACACGGACCAGACUCCUACGGGAGGCAGCAGUGAGGAAUAUUGGACAAUGGGUGAGAGCCUGAUCCAGCCAUCCCGCGUGAAGGACGACGGCCCUAUGGGUUGUAAACUUCUUUUGUAUAGGGAUAAACCUACUCUCGUGAGAGUAGCUGAAGGUACUAUACGAAUAAGCACCGGCUAACUCCGUGCCAGCAGCCGCGGUAAUACGGAGGGUGCAAGCGUUAUCCGGAUUUAUUGGGUUUAAAGGGUCCGUAGGCGGAUCUGUAAGUCAGUGGUGAAAUCUCACAGCUUAACUGUGAAACUGCCAUUGAUACUGCAGGUCUUGAGUGUUGUUGAAGUAGCUGGAAUAAGUAGUGUAGCGGUGAAAUGCAUAGAUAUUACUUAGAACACCAAUUGCGAAGGCAGGUUACUAAGCAACAACUGACGCUGAUGGACGAAAGCGUGGGGAGCGAACAGGAUUAGAUACCCUGGUAGUCCACGCCGUAAACGAUGCUAACUCGUUUUUGGGCUUUCGGGUUCAGAGACUAAGCGAAAGUGAUAAGUUAGCCACCUGGGGAGUACGUUCGCAAGAAUGAAACUCAAAGGAAUUGACGGGGGCCCGCACAAGCGGUGGAUUAUGUGGUUUAAUUCGAUGAUACGCGAGGAACCUUACCAAGGCUUAAAUGGGAAAUGACAGGUUUAGAAAUAGACUUUUCUUCGGACAUUUUUCAAGGUGCUGCAUGGUUGUCGUCAGCUCGUGCCGUGAGGUGUUAGGUUAAGUCCUGCAACGAGCGCAACCCCUGUCACUAGUUGCCAUCAUUAAGUUGGGGACUCUAGUGAGACUGCCUACGCAAGUAGAGAGGAAGGUGGGGAUGACGUCAAAUCAUCACGGCCCUUACGCCUUGGGCCACACACGUAAUACAAUGGCCAGUACAGAGGGCAGCUACACAGCGAUGUGAUGCAAAUCUCGAAAGCUGGUCUCAGUUCGGAUUGGAGUCUGCAACUCGACUCUAUGAGGCUGGAAUCGCUAGUAAUCGCGCAUCAGCCAUGGCGCGGUGAAUACGUUCCCGGGCCUUGUACACACCGCCCGUCAAGCCAUGGAAGUCUGGGGUACCUGAAGUCGGUGACCGUAAAAGGAGCUGCCUAGGGUAAAACAGGUAACUAGGGCUAAGUCGUAACAAGGUAGCCGUACCGGAAGGUGCGGCUGGAUCACCUUAAU
rnacentral:rRNA from 1 species